AUCUCCAGUUUGCAUAACCCAUCUCUCCGAUCACCACUCGGCGAACAACGGAGUUCCGUCGUCCCCAGCGAGCUUGUCUCCCUGCUAUUACGUUCCAACGAUAGAUAGUGCACAGAUAAGACGGAGGAGUGCGAGAUUGAGAAAUAAACAGAUAAUAGACAGACAGAGAAAGAGCUGCGGAGGAAUAAGCACAAGAGCAAAGAAAGCAAAGAUUGAAGGAGCUGUAAAUCUGGAGGAGUUAAAAUGAAGAAUCACAGAACCACAUUCCUGAAUCCAGCAAAAUCCAAUUUGAGGAGAGCGAUAGUGAACAAUCUUCUUCAAGUUCCUCAGAAGAUGAGGAGGAGAUAAAGCAGGAGCUGGCUGAUGUAACGUUUGAGGAGUUGCAGAAAGCACGGGCUAAUGGGUCACAUACAAUUUUUCAAAAGACUAACGUGGAGAAAAAGUCCAAGAGAUCCAACAAGAAUAGGCCAAUGGAGGUCAGUUGCAAGAAGCCCGUUCCUAUUCUCAGAGAUG